rnacentral:rRNA from 1 species
UUAAAUUGAAGAGUUUGAUCAUGGCUCAGAUUGAACGCUGGCGGCAGGCCUAACACAUGCAAGUCGAACGGUAACAGGAAGCAGCUUGCUGCUUCGCUGACGAGUGGCGGACGGGUGAGUAAUGUCUGGGAAACUGCCUGAUGGAGGGGGGUAACUACUGGAAACGGUAGCUAAUACC